GAGUUUGAUCGUGGCUCAGAUUGAACGCUGGCGGCGUGCCUAACACAUGCAAGUCGAGCGGUAACAGGCGUAGCAAUACGUGCUGACGAGCGGCGAACGGGUGAGCAAUGCUUCGGAAUCUGCCCAAUGAUGGGGAAUAACCAGUCGAAAGAUUGGCUAAUACCGCAUACGCCCUUCGGGGAAAGCGGGGGAUCGCAAGACCUCGCGUCGAUGGAUGAGCCGAAGUCGGAUUAGGCUAGUUGGUAGGGUAACGGCCUACCAAGGCGACGAUCCGUAGCUGGUCUGAGAGGACGACCAGCCACACUGGGACUGA
rnacentral:rRNA from 1 species